rnacentral:rRNA from 1 species
UACGUAGGGUGCGAGCGUUGUCCGGAAUUACUGGGCGUAAAGCGUGCGUAGACGGCUAUCUAAGUCGGGUGUGAAAGCCCCGGGCUCAACCUGGGAAUUGCAUUCGAGACUGAAUAGCUAGGGUGCGGUAGAGGGAAGCGGAAUUUCCGGUGUAGCGGUGAAAUGCGUAGAUAUCGGAAGGAACAUCAGUGGCGAAAGCGGCUUCCUGGACCAGCACCGACGUUCAGGCACGAAAGCGUGGGGAGCAAACAGG